ACCAUCAUCUUUUUUGAAGACCUCUCAAAGUGUUCUCUCAAUAUUCAACCUCAAGAACACCAAGGAAAACUUGGAGGCUAAGUCUUGGUCUAGGAAGUAUUUUCCCUAAGGGAUUUUGAAAGGUUUUGAAGGAGUCAAAGCUUAUAGGAAGGUCCAAACCUUAAGCAAGAACACCAAAGAGGUAAGUGCAAGGGCAAGGCAGAGCAGUGAGCGCUGGAGUCUUCCUUGCAAAUGUACAUGUGGACCGACCUUUUGGGAAGCCUUUUUAUUUUUGGAAAUGUUGUGUAAUUUUCCUAAACUAGGCUCACUCUAAUCUUUAUAAAACAUGUUUGUAACUAAAUGUUAAGUAUGGCCAUA